CGCCACUUGGCCGGCCCUGGCCAUUCUUUUAUUAAAGGCUGAGAGGGUACAGUUCCUGGCCCAGGGUCUCAGAGUUUGCAGGUGAUUAAACCAAGAUUCAAUCCCCAGUAGGCAUAACUCUAAGGCCAGUGCCCUAUUUACUGCCCGCUGGUUUGCCUAUCUCCCAUUCCCUGGGAUUUGGCUGGGUCCCAAUCCAGAAUGUAUCAUUAGCCAGGGCCUUAGAACCUAGGGCCUCAAACUAGAGAUCUGUAGAAGGAAGCAGCACCUCAUAGGCCCGCCUUCCUCUCCAUCUGCCCCACCUCCCUGGUUCAAAAGGGGCCUGCAGAGAGCUCUGUGCACAUCUCCAAAAGCUGCUGUCAAGACAGCUACUAAGAUCCUUCCAAGAUGAAGAGCUUCCUCUUCCUCCUAUUCAUCAUCAGCCUCCUGGUUAUGACUCAGGUACAAACUGAGGUCUUGGUAAACAAGAAUUCCACCAGCUCCACCAAGAAUGCGGCCCCAGCACUCAGCUGCCUAGGUGGUGGCAGUGUCCUUCUCUUCUUGACCAACACCCUCAUCCAGCUCCUUCACCUCAGCUGAAGUGACAUGCCUCAGCCCUGGCCCUGUGUCCCCUGAGACAGCUGCCACCAUCGCUAGCAAGAGAAGCCCAACCCCACCCUCCCUACCCCACCCCCAGCCCUGGAAUCCUUGGAAAGUGUUGAUGCCAGAAAUCACCAGUUGUGGGAAUUGACAGGCGGUGCUUUGGGAACAACGGCCAACACAGGGAGGUACUGAUGUGGAGGGGCUAGCAUCACCCAGCUGGGGGUCAAUAAAGUUGUCCUGUACUUGGAA